GUCAUAUGCUUGUCUCAAAGAUUAAGCCAUGCAUGUCUCAGUACAAGCCAAAUUAAGGUGAAACCGCGAAAGGCUCAUUAAAUCAGUUAUGGUUCCUUAGAUCGUACCCACAAUUACUUGGAUAACUGUGGUAAUUCUAGAGCUAAUACAUGCAAACAGAGCUCCGACCGGAGACGGGAGGAGUGCUUUUAUUAGAUCAAAACCAAUCGGUGGCGGGUUCGCUCGUUAUCGUACAACUUGGUGACUCUGAAUAACUUUACGCUGAUCGCACGGUCAUCGCACCGGCGACGCAUCUUUCAAAUGUCUGCCUUAUCAACUGUCGAUGGUAGGUUCUGCGCCUACCAUGGUUGUAACGGGUAACGGGGAAUCAGGGUUCGAUUCCGGAGAGGGAGCCUGAGAAACGGCUACCACAUCCAAGGAAGGCAGCAGGCGCGCAAAUUACCCACUCCCGGCACGGGGAGGUAGUGACGAAAAAUAACGAUACGGGACUCAUCCGAGGCCCCGUAAUCGGAAUGAGUACACUCUAAACCCUUUAACGAGGAUCAAUUGGAGGGCAAGUCUGGUGCCAGCAGCCGCGG
rnacentral:rRNA from 4 species